AGGGGGUGCCUUUCAGGCAUCCUCUCCCAAACUUUCAGUGGGUCGGUCUUCGGAUCGGCCCUUUUUUUGCGUCUGC
rnacentral:sRNA from 1 species